CCGCGCCCGGUGUCCGGUUCUGUGGCCCGGGUCGACUUGCGGCGUUUUAGCGCUCCUGGACGGUCCUGGGGCGCCGCCUGGGCCCCGCUUCGCCAGGGAGUGAGGGCCUCCCACAAAGAGGAGCUUGUGCGGAAGAGCGGCCGGGAGGAAAAGGCCAGGAAAAGGCCAGGGCUUAUUCACAGGGGCGCAGUGCGAGUGUUUGUCUCAUUAAGCUACCAAAACCAAACCCGGUGGAGGGAUUGGGCUGUGUGUAGUAAAUUAAGGAGGGCAGAGUCAAGGAGUAGGAUUGUAGACCAGAGAACAGUGUUGAAAGAGGAGCAGGCGUCUGAACUGCAUGCAAGUCUGCAGAGAAAGUGGAGUAUUGGUGGACUUCUGAUUUAUUAUGGUGUUUCACAACGAAACCAAAUGAGAAAUCUUGGUGAUGUUACUAAUUUUAAUGAAAAGCUUCCCCUGGUUAUCUAAGUGUUGUAAGACAUAGCAAUCUGCCAAUGAGGGUUAGUAGUUCACCUUCAUCUCCGAGGAACGAUCAAAUCAGGAUUUACAUCAGUCGGUGCAUGUCUGAGUAGACACAUUUGCUCUGGGUUUUUGCAUCUACAUCAUCUAUUACCAGCAGUUAUACGGGUUGCUGUGCAGAGUGUCCACAGCAAACGACCCAAGACCCCCAAAAGGUCCAUGAAGAGAGGAACUUCCUUGGAGAUGUGGUCYCACAGCACAGAGUUGAGCUUUAUCAGACUUUUGGGGGCAGAUUUGAGCAAGAUUUCCUUGCAGGUUUGGGAUGAAUGUAGCAGGAUUUGAGGUUUGCAUCUUUGUGUUGUCAGGUGGACUCUUUCAUCCAAGCUACCAUUUGGUUAUAAAUGAAGCAUGGAAGUUUAAGAAUUGUAUGCACACAACUGAAAGAAAAUUCUGGAAGAAGAUCAGCCAUCACAUGCCUAAUUAAGGACUUCUAAUAAGAUGUUCUUCUAAUGUUUUGCAAGAAGGAAAUGGGGCCAAAUGAGACAUUUCCAAGGCCAGGCAGCUCCUGGCUCCAGCGGGGGAURCAGAAGAAAGCCCUGCAGUGGGACGCCAGGAGAAGACGCGCUGUGGAGACCCCACGCUUCCCUAUCUCCUACCCCAGCUUCUUACAGGGGCCUCCUAUUGCUAAUGCCCGAAGGGGAGGAGACCUUGCGGGCUUAUUUGGGACAACGUCGUAUUUCCCCCGUGCGGGAACACCGUACGAGGCAGCUGUGGAGGCCGUUGCUGCUGUCAAUACACCGAGCCACCGACGCAAGUUCGUUUGAUGUGUGAAGCCAGAGCGAUGU